rnacentral:rRNA from 1 species
AGCGGAUGACGGGAGCUUGCUCCUUGAUUCAGCGGCGGACGGGUGAGUAAUGCCUAGGAAUCUGCCUGGUAGUGGGGGACAACGUUUCGAAAGGAACGCUAAUACCGCAUACGUCCUACGGGAGAAAGCAGGGGACCUUCGGGCCUUGCGCUAUCAGAUGAGCCUAGGUCGGAUUAGCUAGUUGGUGGGGUAAUGGCUCACCAAGGCGACGAUCCGUAACUGGUCUGAGAGGAUGAUCAGUCACACUGGAACUGAGACACGGUCCAGACUCCUACGGGAGGCAGCAGUGGGGAAUAUUGGACAAUGGGCGAAAGCCUGAUCCAGCCAUGCCGCGUGUGUGAAGAAGGUCUUCGGAUUGUAAAGCACUUUAAGUUGGGAGGAAGGGCAGUAAGUUAAUACCUUGCUGUUUUGACGUUACCGACAGAAUAAGCACCGGCUAACUCUGUGCCAGCAGCCGCGGUAAUACAGAGGGUGCAAGCGUUAAUCGGAAUUACUGGGCGUAAAGCGCGCGUAGGUGGUUUGUUAAGUUGGAUGUGAAAGCCCCGGGCUCAACCUGGGAACUGCAUCCAAAACUGGCAAGCUAGAGUACGGUAGAGGGUGGUGGAAUUUCCUGUGUAGCGGUGAAAUGCGUAGAUAUAGGAAGGAACACC